rnacentral:rRNA from 1 species
GUUUGAUCAUGGCUCAGAUUGAACGCUGGCGGCAUGCCUUACACAUGCAAGUCGAACGGCAGCACGGGAGCAAUCCUGGUGGCGAGUGGCGAACGGGUGAGUAAUAUAUCGGAACGUGCCCAGUCGUGGGGGAUAACGCAGCGAAAGCUGUGCUAAUACCGCAUACGAUCUAUGGAUGAAAGCGGGGGAUCGCAAGACCUCGCGCGAUUGGAGCGGCCGAUAUCAGAUUAGCUUGUUGGUGGGGUAAAAGCCCACCAAGGCGACGAUCUGUAGCUGGUCUGAGAGGACGACCAGCCACACUGGAACUGAGACACGGUCCAGACUCCUACGGGAGGCAGCAGUGGGGAAUUUUGGACAAUGGGCGCAAGCCUGAUCCAGCAAUGCCGCGUGCAGGAUGAAGGCCUUCGGGUUGUAAACUGCUUUUGUACGGAACGAAACGGCUCUUUCUAAUAAAGAGGGCUAAUGACGGUACCGUAAGAAUAAGCACCGGCUAACUACGUGCCAGCAGCCGCGGUAAUACGUAGGGUGCGAGCCGUUAAUCGGAAUUUACUGGGCGUAAAAGCGUGCGCAGGGCGGUUAUAUAAAGAACAGAAUGUGAAAUCCCCGGGCUCAACCUGGGACCUGCAUUUUGUGACUGUAUAGCUAGAGUACCGGUAGAAGGGGGAUGGAAUUCCCGCGUGUAGCAGUGAAAUGCGUAGAUAUGCGGGAAGGAACACCCGAUGGCGAAGGCAAUCCCCUGGAACCUGUACUGACGCUCAUGCACGAAAGCGUGGGGGAGGCAAACAAGAUNAGAUACCCUGGUAGNCCACGCCCCUAAACGAUGUCAACUGGUUGUUGGGGUCUUCACUGACUCAGUAAACGAAGACUAACGCGUGAAGUUGACCGCCUGGGGAGUACGGCCGC